GCCUGGGGGGCUCAGUCGGUUGAGCGUCCGACUUCGGCUCAGGUCAUGAUCUCACAGUUCGUGGGUUCAAGCCCCGCGUCGGGCU
rnacentral:tRNA from 1 species